rnacentral:misc_RNA from 1 species
CUUGUGUAUUGAAGCUUAAUGUAAGCAAAUGGCAGAGAGGUUUUCUCGGUUUCACGAGGUUCGAGAUUAUCAGGGUAAAGGAGUUGAUGUUUAUGAUGACAACCUCAUCGAGCUUGAGCAGUCUUCUCUUGCUGAGCCAAUUACACAGCACGCUAGUGGUGCCGGGCAUGAGGUAGAGGGCCGCCACUGCUGUCUCUGCGGGUGGCCACUGCCUCGGCGUACGGGACUACUUGCUGGGGGCGCUUGUUCGUGUUGGUUCUACUUGGCACCUCCCUCCUUUCUCUCCUCCUGCGGGGUUGCACCUCCUAGGACAAUCUCGGCUACCAGCUGCUGCUGCGACAUGGCUGGAAAUCCGGACAGGGCCUGGGCAAGAAUGAGCAAGUAGUGUGGUGCAUGCACCUAAAGCUGGAAGCUGGUGGGUGCCGACUUGAGCCAACUUGAGCAACUGAUGCCAUGCGCGUGAGGUGCUGCCGGUCUCCUGGUGGGUGUCGUCUCGGCAGCUGCUUUCAUGGAUAUGCUGGAAAGAAUGUUCAUCACGGGUUCCUCUGGGAAGUGCUGUGCAUGGUUCUGCGAGCCGUAGGUGAGCUGUGACAUGGUGACUUGGUGUACAUCAUCUGCAGGGGUCCAUCGGCUGCAAAUUGCCAGGAUGGAUGCUGUUAGACACUCAAGUAGAAGCUCCAUCGCUACCAUGGAAGCUGCUGGAAAAGUUCAAGCAGAGCCUGUCCACAGUGUUUUGAUCAUCAAAUGAUUCUCUCUUGUGAAUAAAGUAUUGUUGUAAAUGGGG